AGGAGGCAGAGCUUGCAGUGAGCUGAGAUCUGGCCAGUGCACUCCAGCUUGGGUGACAGAGCAAGACUCCGUCUCAAAAAAAAAAAAAAUAGAAGAUCUUGGGAAUGUGUUUUUCUUUCCUAGGCCUCACUUUGUCAGUGGGAUUUAUAGGAUAGGCCUGUCACUACCAAGGUGACACAAAUUCUAGAGAAUGUAUUUUCCCAUUUCUUCAAAUUUCCUUUCCUCUCUUUGUAUUGAUACUUAAAAUACCUUUACUAAAAAAAUCAAGUGUUCCAUUUCCAUUGCCUUGUAUUUACAUGAAGAUAAAAAUAUUUGCUAAGUCAUUGUAUUUGUCCAUUCUGGCAGUGCUAUAAAGACAUACCUGAGACUGGGUCAUUUACGAAGAAAAGAGGUUUAACGGACUCGUGGUUCUAUGGGCUGUACAGGCUUCUGUUUUGGGGGAGGCCUCAGGAAACUUAAAAUCACAGCAGAAAGCAAAGGGAAAGCAAGCCCGUCUUACGUGGCAGGAGCAAGAGGAAAAGAACAAAGCGGGAGGGAUUACACACUUUUGUUUCUUUUUUUUUUUUUUUUUUUUAAGAUGGAGUCUCCCUGUCACCCAGGCUGGAGUGCAGUGUUGUGAUCUCAGCUCACUGCAACCUCUGCCUCCCAAGUUCAAGCGAUUCUCCUGCCUCAGCCUCCAUAAGGGAGCUUUGAAAAGAAAACGGAGACUUGUAUCCGACUUGGCUAGAAGCAAAAUAAUUUGAUCAUUGGAGCCACCAUUUCUAUGUAUUUGAUCAAGUCCUCCUCAGGAAUCCAAUACAGCUGUAUUCAUAUUUCACUCUCUCUUCAUGGACCUUGCUGGAAAGAACAUUCUGUGCUAAGAAAAUGGAAAAUAAAUGCGAGAAAACUUUAAGAGUGAGCCUUCACGUCUCCUGCAGCAGGUGAUAUCUCUGUACUUCAGAGCUUGUCUCCAGGUUGAGAAUUACCUGUUUUCCACUCUGAGGAGAUUAGAAAGAUAAUUUUUUAAUGGGUUAUAAAACUUGUGUGAAGAAGAUUGACCUCCACCUCUCCUGUGAAAUAAAUUGUUUGAAAACUCUUUGAGGAGAAA